GUCUUGCUCAGAAAUGCUUCAGACUUGAGAAAGGGAGGUUCUCCCGAAAGCUUGUCAUUAAAAAAUGAUGUUAGUUCAACACUAUAUUUUUAAAGAGAGAAUGUCGUUUGUUUCCGUUCUCUGUUGUGUCAGUCUAACCAGUCUGCAUUCCCCUGAGCUCGAGCCCUGCGGCUAGCCAUUGACGGGUGUAAUGUCACAAGGUGGCU